rnacentral:lncRNA from 1 species
UGAAUACUGGUCAUAACCAAGCGCCCUCAAACAUCUCUACCUGAGCUUCUUCCCAACUUUCUUGAGUACUUUUCUGCCAAACUACAUGACCACUCCAUCAGUUUCGCUCUAGAGAGAAAACUUGUGAAGGUUUCGGCUCAAAGAUGAAGUUAUCCAGAUAGAUCGAAUUUCAAAGGAAGCUUAAGAAACUUGUGCAGCGUGGCCUACGGCAUCCGGCGGCGGCGUCAAGGGCGAGCGGUGUUGGCAAUGGGCAGAGGUAGAACACGGGAGAGACUCAGAGAUUUGGAACAGUGAUUGGCGUCAAGCAAUGAGGGUUCGGGCAUGCAGCGUCGGCGACUAGCGUCCAGCGGCGUCCGGUGGCGGCAGCCUUGAGGGAGAGCGGCAUCCGGCGGCGUAAAGGUUCUAGGUCAGAAUGAAGGGAAAUUGUAUUUGGGGCUCCUUUUGGAGCCCUAACCGGUUCCCGGAAAAAAGGAACCGGGAACCGAAACCGCUCCUUUAAAAACCAGGAACCGAACCAGAACCUCCGGUUCCUGCUUCUACCCGGAAACCGCGCUCACCCCUACUUGAUAUCACCAAAAAAAUCACGUUAUAGAAUGCCCAGGCCACCUCUAUUGGCCUUUUUACCAUAGUUAUACCAUUAAAGUUUUCAGUAACGUGUCUGAGAAUAAGUGCAAUAUCAUGGAAAAAUCCCCAUAUUGGGAUCUUUGUUGUUCUUCAAAUUAUAAUUUCGUCCCAUAACACGUUAGAAGAUUAGGGUUCAUUUUAAGAACAC